AAUUUUCCGAAUUUGAGUAUUAUUGAGAAAAUUAAAUUGAAAUACAAGUUUUAACUUAAAAUUUUGUUGAAAAUGAACUUAGGUUGACAGAUUUUGUAAUAGAGAUGAUUAAAUCCAUUUACUUUUCAGUAAUUCCAACCCUAUCUUUAAUGAAGAACACAAUUACAGGAAGAAAUUUAAUAUGCUGCAAUGGUAUAGUGGAAGUUAGUUCUAAUCGCUACUGCUUAGAAUAGCCCAAACAUGCAGCGGACAUGGCCUGAAAUUUUGGAACUUUUAAAAUUGAAAUGCGAAAUACAAUGUAUGCAGUGAUGGAAUAUUUUAACGCAAAGGAUUUAUAGUACUAAUGACACACGGACGUACACUUUUUCCACCUUCCAUUGCCGUUAAAUUUUAACAGAUUAAAUAGUUAGUUAAAUGUGAUUUGAAAAGAAUAAAAUGCAUUAUACGGCCUUCUACUGACUGCCAAAUUUAAAUUGGCGGACAU